UACGGGGGGGGCAAGCGUUGUUCGGAAUUACUGGGCGUAAAGGGUGCGUAGGCGGCUUUCUAAGUUGGAUGUGAAAACUCUGGGCUCAACCCAGAGCCUGCAUCCAAAACUGGAAAGCUAGGGUUCUGGAGGGGAAAGCGGAAUUCCUGGUGUAGCGGUGAAAUGCGUAGAUAUCAGGAGGAACACCGGUGGCGAAGGCAGCCUUCUGGGCCAACACUGACGCUCAUGCACGAAAGCGUGGGGAGCAAACAGG
rnacentral:rRNA from 1 species